GCGCCGAGGCGCGGCCCGGGCCGUCGCCGGAGAACGGCUGGCGAGCGUUGUGGGGCGCGCUCCUCGGGUGGGAGCACGGAAGAGCGUCUUUGCCCCUCACUCCUCGGUUUCUCCUCCCUGGAAUGUCGCGGCCCCCCACCCCUCUCUAGGAGAGACGGCAGACAACAAAGGGGCCCGGGGUGGCGGCCAGAGGGACGAUGUGAGGGACGCCGCCGAGCCAGCGCCAGGGGAAGUUGGGGACGAAGAAAAGUAGAGGAAGCGCACAGGUGGCUGAGCAUACAAACUGAAGAAAAAAUUGAAAUGCCAUUUUAAAAACUUGAAAGAUGUUGGAAGUGAAAAAAAAAGGCCUUGUUAAAAAGAAGAAGAAGAAGAAGAAUCAAUCAAUCAAUCAAUCAAUCAAUCAAUCAAUCUUGGGCUGAGAAAAUCUGCAAAUAAGCACAUAAUUGGCUCUGAGUUUCUUGGGGAUGAAGACAAAGAGGGAAACACACUGAUUACAUAUUUUUCAGUGUCUUAGAAAAUGAAACACUCCAGUCCAUCAUGAAACAAUUGUUUUAUGGCUCUCUUGUCUGUGAGCAACUUCUCAAAUGGGUGGAUUUAGUAAGUAGCACGCCGGACAGUGUCCCCCCAGUCUCACAAGAAUGGCCCAAAAGUUCUACUCGUGACUGUUUCUUAUGAAGCUGAGCCAUGCUGUGAAGUUUUUCUUCUGUGAUGAAGGGAAUACAGGUUAGGUCCAAGCUUUCUAGAGACUCAUCUUGACACAGGGCUAAAACUCAGGGAACUUUAAGGAACAGGGUCCUUGGCAAAUGACAUUUGUCUCAGCUGGAGUUUUGAAAUGAGUUAUGUUCAGACAGUUCAUAAGUUGAGUCUCUAACAUGUAGCUGAAGGUCAGAUAACCAAUAUUGUAACUGGAGGGAGAGCCACAUGCUCCCAUUGCCAGAUACGUAAGCAGCAGAGCACCCUUUCGUGAACAC